GUCACAAAUUGUACAUCCACCCCAAUCUUGCAACAAGAGUGUAUUAAAAGCCAUUUUUCAAGGCUGAGUAAGAGUUUGUGACCUGAUAGACGAUGGCUGGCAAACUCAUUUCAUCAUAAAUAUCACAGCAGAUAAUAUACUUCAAUACAAGUGAUGCAUCUGCCUAUGCCAGGAUCCUCAGAAAUUGCCAGGAGGCAGAGGGGCUAUGCAGCCAGACACAGAGCAAAGUUCAUUCCACGGAAACGACAGCAAGGACUCCUCCGCAGCCACUGCUGGACUCCAGAAUGUGAUGACCACCAUGAGAACUCCACCAGCUGUGAUGCUGAGCCUACCUCUGCUGCCCUUGGACACUCACUCCCAAAUAAAGUUCAGAUUGCUCUCUCUGAUUAUCUAACUUGUUAAGUCCACAUCAUUUUCCCCACCCUAGCUUCAGAAGACUGGAAAAUUGAGUUUCUGAUAUUUGUUAACAGAGUCCAGAUCCACAUUUCAGUGAGACUUGCAGGGUCAAGAAUUCUCCAAAUAUCAGAAGGAGAUCAGAUGCAGAAGAGCCAAGAGAAAUAAAUAAAUAUUUGUCCCAGGAAUAAGACCAGGAGUUAGAGGCUGAGUUUCAGCCCUAGGGUCAGCAUGUGAAGAAGAGAAUCUCUCUAAGAUCACU
rnacentral:lncRNA from 1 species